AUUGAACGCUGGCGGCAUGCCUAACACAUGCAAGUCGAACGCGAACGUACCUUCGGGUGCUAGUAGAGUGGCGGACGGGUGAGUAACGCGUAGGAAUCUGCCCAGUAGUGGGGGAUAACUCGGAGAAAUCCGAGCUAAUACCGCAUACGCCCCAUGGGGGAAAGGCUUCGGCCGCUAUUGGAUGAGCCUGCGUCAGAUUAGCUUGUUGGUGGGGUAAUGGCCUACCAAGGCAACGAUCCGUAGCUGGUCUGAGAGGAUGAUCAGCCACACUGGGACUGAGACACGGCCCAG
rnacentral:rRNA from 1 species